rnacentral:tRNA from 1 species
GCGGAUAUGGCGGAAUUGGUAGACGCGCUAGGUUUAGGUCCUAGUGGGCAUUGCCUGUGGGGGUUCAAGUCCCUCUAUCCGCAC